rnacentral:rRNA from 1 species
AGAACGCUGAGACUUUAGCUUGCUAAAGUUGGAAGAGUUGCGAACGGGUGAGUAACGCGUAGGUAACCUGCCUACUAGCGGGGGAUAACUAUUGGAAACGAUAGCUAAUACCGCAUAACAGCAUUUAACCCAUGUUAGAUGCUUGAAAGGAGCAAUUGCUUCACUAGUAGAUGGACCUGCGUUGUAUUAGCUAGUUGGUGAGGUAACGGCUCACCAAGGCGACGAUACAUAGCCGACCUGAGAGGGUGAUCGGCCACACUGGGACUGAGACACGGCCCAGACUCCUACGGGAGGCAGCAGUAGGGAAUCUUCGGCAAUGGGGGCAACCCUGACCGAGCAACGCCGCGUGAGUGAAGAAGGUUUUCGGAUCGUAAAGCUCUGUUGUAAGAGAAGAACGUGUGUGAGAGUGGAAAAUUCACACAGUGACGGUAACUUACCAGAAAGGGACGGCUAACUACGUGCCAGCAGCCGCGGUAAUACGUAGGUCCCGAGCGUUGUCCGGAUUUAUUGGGCGUAAAGCGAGCGCAGGCGGUUUAAUAAGUCUGAAGUUAAAGGCAGUGGCUUAACCAUUGUUCGCUUUGGAAACUGUUAGACUUGAGUGCAGAAGGGGAGAGUGGAAUUCCAUGUGUAGCGGUGAAAUGCGUAGAUAUAUGGAGGAACACCGGUGGCGAAAGCGGCUCUCUGGUCUGUAACUGACGCUGAGGCUCGAAAGCGUGGGGAGCAAACAGGAUUAGAUACCCUGGUAGUCCACGCCGUAAACGAUGAGUGCUAGGUGUUAGGCCCUUUCCGGGGCUUAGUGCCGCAGCUAACGCAUUAAGCACUCCGCCUGGGGAGUACGACCGCAAGGUUGAAACUCAAAGGAAUUGACGGGGGCCCGCACAAGCGGUGGAGCAUGUGGUUUAAUUCCAAGCAACG